CGUUUUUUUAAGGAAAGCAGAGGUUUUAGGCAGGAUUUGAUGCAUAAGGUGUGUGUAGAUAUUAAUGUUAGGGGACAAUGUGAGUGAUGUGUACGUUUAGUAGGAAAACCUAUUAUCUGAUCCACACUCCGGGACAGAAGAGGGCGGUAUUGCACCAAUAAGCUGGAUGCCAACCGCCGUUAAACUGGAAAGAAGUUACAAUGAGGUACAAUGGAACAGAUUAUGUUUAUCUGCUGUAGAGUGACUGAAGAAGGAAUGCUGCCAUCAAAGGAUUUGUAUCUUUUGUGGUGGAGCAGGACCUGCAAGGAAAGGG